rnacentral:lncRNA from 1 species
AGAUGAGAUAACGAAAUGGUCAGCCCCAAGCAGGCUCAGUGCUCCCUCCUUUUUAGAAAUGCUUGUACUGAACACUGUGACUUUCAGUCCAAAAGCCUUCCCAAACUUAACUGCCAAAUGACCGAGCCCGCCAAGUCCAAUUACACCUAGAGACUUACCAGGUUGGUUCUUUGUGACGUAUCAUUGGAGUGUACACCGUGAUUCCAGCACAGAGCAAUGGCGCUGCUAGAUCCAUCGGGUAGUUUUCUGGAAUCCUGAAGCAAUACCUGUCAAUGAAGCACCACGAUUAAGUUUCCAAAUAACACCAAGAGAGGAAGUGGUUUCCCAAUAGAAUCAGCAUCCUGUCUUUGUUGUCUAAAAGGAAUCAAAUCACAGAGCCAGACAUCCUAUCUUCCACAUGCUUGGGAAUUUUACUUGCUUAGACCACAAUUCAGCAUCAUGUUGUUUCUGUGAUCCUUGUUCUGACCACAAAUUGCUCAAGACAAACAUUUCUUGCUGUAGCAAUGUAAAUAAAGCAAUUGCAGCAUACAAGAGGCCACACUCGAUUAAAAUUAAGAAAAGACACUUGCUCUAAGAAAGGAAACUGGUGGCAUAUCACAUAUGCUUGACUGAACACGUAAUUUCUGUAUUUCCUUCAAUCAAUUUCUCCAAAGGACUCAAGAUUCCUGUGGCUCUAUCAGAAACAAGAAUUAGUGAAAGCACAUACAUUUAGCUACCCAUUUGAUCUGAUAUUUAUGAUCUAACUCUAACAAUCUAAGGACAGCUUAUUCCAUUCUUGACGAUGGUUAUUCAAAAGAAAGAAUUUCUUUUCGCAUUUAAUAAAGCCAAUUCUCCAUUGAAUGGUUUGAAUGGUAAUUGGAUACAGAGGACUUAAAGACUCUCCAGAGUCGUUAUAGAAAGUAUCUUUAUCCCGUUCCACAAGAUGCAAUUAAUGCCUAAAAGCCAUUCCUCACAGUCCUAUGCAUUAUGCCACUUCUGGUCACAAUCAGAAUAAGAAGAAAAUUAGCAGAGAAGAAGACAUGACAUGAAAUCUUUUUUUGGCCACCAUGAUUUGGAAUUCUGUCACAGUGCAAAAUGCUGCCUAAUAACACUGUGUCAAUAAGCAAUUACCUUUCAUGGACGACAAUGUGACUAGAAUAUCCUCCCUUUGUGACUGUACCAUCCGCAUCGAUUCCAUCAAAAGUCAAAACCGCCUUUUCACAUUGGGUUUCUAGCCUGUCAUUGCAAUACUCGCACUCUCUGCAUGAAUUGACAUAAGUUCCCACCCCCACAUGAUUGCCAACUUUGAAGCGUUGGACACUGGAGCCAACCUGUUUCACAAUUCCAACUAUCUCGAGCCUGAAUCAAUCAAAAAAAUCAUUUGCAAAUUUUGUUCAGAGAAUUAUGAGGAUGGUGCUAAGAAAAAAAGAUUAACAUUCGAAUCACGCUGCAUCCUACCCUGGCACCAGAGGAUACUUGGAGUGUCCCUGCACAUUCCUAGUCCAAGCCACAUCUGCAUAGCACACUCCACAGUGCGUGAUCUUAAUCGAGACGUCUUCGCUUCCCACGGCCCUAAAGAGAUGAUUCCCAAACAGGUGAGCAUAUAAUCCAGUGAAUAAUCAGACUAGGGUACCUUUUUUUUCCAUUUUCAAGAUCAACAAACUAAGCUUGACCUACGAUUAUCGAGAAAACAAGAAACCAGAAAUGAGAAAAGGAAAAAUUCCAUGACUACAAGCAUAUUUGUCCAUACGGUAGAUACAACCUCAAAUGCUCAGAAAGGCAGCCAGUACAGGAUCCUCAUGUCUGCCAUGAAAUUCUGAGUAACCCAUAACCAACAAUUCUCGACCCAGAAUUCAGCGCAUACACAACAAAAGAAAGAACGAAAAAAAAUGAAAUGGUCUGGACCGAAAACUGUCUCGCAUGAACACUUCGGUAGAAAUCGAAAAACAAAUGGCAAUACCUGCGGGUGAAUUUGUAGGGGGAGAGGAACCCAGAAGGGUCCCGGGCAGCCCAACCGAGGCAAUCCUCCUUCCCACCCUCCGAGCUCAUCUUCUGUACCUACACACCCAGCGAAGCAAUCACACAAACGGGUACGGUUAGAUUCAUCCAAAGAAGAAGAAGAAGAAGAAAGGGUGAGAACUCGAACGAGAGAGUGCCCAAGAUCAGAGACUCGACGGGUCAUCACUAGGCGACGACUCGAGUCACAACAAGCUCGCCAUCACUCACUCACCUACACCCACCUACCCAAACACAACCCCACAGCAACUCAGAGAGAGAGAGAGAGAUGACUACGGAGAUGGAGAGAGGUUACGCGGUGGAGUAUGCGGGAGCGCGAAGAGGGUGAUGAGCCGAGCAGAGCCGAGGACGGGAGGUUCAACGAAGACUUUGCCCCCUCCCUACCUUGCAGGAGAGCUGCGAGUAAUCCGAUGGAUUAAAUUGGAAGGAAAAAUUAUCCCAAACUUUAGCUCAAUAUGUAACGUCAUCUAUAAAUUUUUAAUUUACUCGAUAUGAUUAUAUUAUAUGUUAUUGCAAAUUUUAAAUUAAUGGAAUAACAAUGUUGAAUAUUUUUAUAUAUUGAAUAUAUAUUAAAAGUUCAUUAACUAUAUUAAAUAAGUUAAAAGUUUACAGACUAUAUUUCGCAUUACAUUAAAGUUCAAGGACAACAUUAAAUAAAUUAAAAAUUUAGGGAUUACAUUGCAUGUUAGAUCAAAAUUCAAGAUCAUUUAUGUGGUUAUCACAAAUAACUACUAUCAAUGGAAUUACCAUUAGGAAAUUGAAUAUCUAAACGGAGUCGAAGAUAAGUAUUUAAGUUUGUCAUGCCCCGAACCCCGAAGGCGUGUCCAUCUCUCUUUGGUCGAUAAUAUUUUGUGACUUCUCAAGACAAGUCGUCAACCCUUUUUGUUUUAUUGCACAUGCGAAAGCAAAUAAUAAAUCUCCUGUUAGUAAUCAUCUUGGGAUAGAAACAUGACAACAGAUUCAUAAACAAACAUGCUUUUGUAAUUACAUAGUCAUGUAUAGGGUUUAUGACCAAAAGAUCACAAGGACUGGCUUUUAAAAAAGAAACGGUUCUAAUUGACCUACAUUUCUGAUCAUCUCCUCUCAGCUCUAGGUCCUUCACUUGACGACUUUGAAAGACAAUGUCUCAGUAAGUCCAUCUACUAAACCCUGAUUAUGAGGGAAAUACGCUUCAGGACACUCUAGUCACACAACCACACAAUUAGAUAGGAAACUUAUCUCGCCUUAGUUUCUUCCUAUAGAUUAGCACAAUUCAUAUCUCAAAUGCAUGCAAUUUAUGCAUAUGACAAUUAAAACGCCUUACUUUUCUUAAUCAAUUACAAGGGUCUCAGCCCAGUUCAUCAUAGGAGUCUCAAUUAUAAGACCAAACUGUUAUGAUACAAUCCAUAUCAUGCCACGCAAUUUUGUCUCAUAAUCAAGCGCAUCAAACUCAGACAAUCAUGCGUUCCAAUUGUUAAUUAAGCCACUCAAGGCACUGUCGACAUCCAUGUUCGAUAGUCUAUUGGCAUAGCCAGGUAUCGUCUCUUCCUCAUAGAGCACGGCUACGUCACAUUGGCGACUAUCCCGAACGCGCUUAGGUCCAGAAUCUACUACGACCCGCUACCCUAAUGCAUGGGUAACCUGAAAAGUGGGAUUUAGUAAUGUCCAGCGUAAACGCUAGGACGGGUUCACUUUAACCAACACACGACCACUCAAUCUCGGCCUAGGAUACUGUGCAUUGUACACAAAUGCCUUAAUUAAAGUAGUGAUCCUGGUAUAUUUUCUUCGUAUUAAAAACAUUCCAGAAAAUAGUCGUGUGUGGGUAUACAAUCAGAUUGAACCCAAAAAAUUCAUAACAUUCUUUUAAAAAAUCCAAUGGUUUAUACUGUAUAUAAAACCAUUUUCGGUAUUUAAAACCCGACACCCAAGAUUUUCUGAAUAAAUAACAAAUUUUAUAAAUUUUUAGAAUAAAUGUCCAAAAAUCCAAUUAACACUCAAUUUGCGUAAUUUAACACUCGAUUGUAGAAAUUAACCACACCAUUGCAAUUAGUACGAAAUUCCGAUCAUUGGCUAUCCCGGCCUAAUUUGCGGAAAAUAUUUAAUAAUUAAUUAAUUUCUAAAAUUAAUUAAAUAAAUCAAUUUAAAUACUAAAAUGCCAACCUAGGCCAAAAUCACUAAAUUAAAUACCAACACGGACCCAAAAAAUUCUUGAACCCUUCUAGAUAAAUAACACAAUUUAUCUAGGUCUCACUUAAUCUAAUCUAAUCACCUAACAUGUAUAAUUGCAUAAUUAAAUCACUAAAUUAAUCUAACUAACCACCUAAUUCAUAAUUAAAUAAAUAUAAACACAUCUUAGACAUCAUUAGCCUACUAAGAAGAGUUUAGUGAAUAAACUCACCGGUUAAUUGCGAAAACCGGUUCACUGCGAUGAUGACGUGACAGCAGCUGAAAUCCGAAUUUUCGGUAGCAUCGAUAGACACUCAGACCGGGCACAAAAACCUUGCAAGCCCACAGCAAAUUGCUAGGCUUGGUCUGGGCUUGACCUGAACUUGGGCCUGAGCUUGGGCUGACUUGCUUUGUGGGCUUGGGCUCGGAACAAAAGCUGAAAUUACGAACUAGGCUUGCGACACUUGCUGGGCUUGACUGAAGAUGGGCUACUGCGCAGGCUCAAAGGAGCUGCUGGGCCGGAAUUGUCGCAGUGAAGAUGGACUUCAAAUUGCUGGGCCGAGAAGCCUAGCCCGUUCACGGCCACAGCUGGGCUGAGCUAGGGCCGAAGACACAAAAUGGAGAAACGGGCGUGGAAGCUGGGCUGCUUCAACUUCGCUGGAAACGUGGAUGGCUUGAAGGAACUGAGGCAGCCACGAAGAUGGAAGAAGCAACGUCGACGAACUGCUUGGGACGAUGGCAGCUGGUGGAAGAGUCAACUUCGGUGGUCACAUGGGCUGGCUUAUUGACCGAGAGAGGGCAGGCGGUGGACGUGUGGCAGCUACUGGAUCCGCGUGAGGCUUCGGUGGGUUUUGUUUCGCGGAGAUGAGCUGCUCGGUUGAAAGAAAAAUCGGUGGUGUUGAGCUGGCGAUGUGCAGGCGUGCGUCGUUGAAGAUUUCUUGGUCAAUAAACGGCAAUAUGACAAAGAUGGUGGCUGGCUUCGGUUUUGAGGGAUAAUGGGGAGAAAACAAAGUUGCAGGUGUGCGGCGUGGAUGACCGAAGGGGAUUGGGCGAAGGAAAUGAAAAUAAAAGAAUGAAAGGAACGGCAGAAGCUGAGGAAGAAGUGUUCGUUUUUCUUGGUGAGUGAUAGAGAGACAAAAAGUCCAACACUCAGCCAAAUUCAUAAAUGCUUGGUCCCCUUAGACCUUCACUCUUAUCCCUUUUGUCUCCAAUUACUUUCUAAGCUUUCUCUUCACCAAUAAACCUAAUUUUGAAGCCCAAAAUUGUUGCCCUUUUCCAAAUCCGAAUUUCACAAUUUUUGGCCUUCAAUUUCUUCAACAAUUUCCCAAAUUCGACGUCCAAUUUUGAUGUAAAAAAAACCUACAUAAUUUCUACUAGUCCCCCUCGCCAUAUAGCUCGGUUUGCAAGGCGAAAAUCUCUUCAUUUUGACUGAUCCGAAUUUCCACUAAUUUUUCGCAACGUCCAAAUCGAUUUUUCGUAAAAAUCUCGGGAUCCUCAAAAAAUCUUCGGAGGAUGACGACGUUCCUAAAAUAGAUCGUGACAUGAUAGAAAUUUUAAUUUUUAAAAUCGGGUUCAAGUUCGCGGUUAAUUUCAAUCCAACGCGUUUUUAGCGUGACCUAAUCUACUAGGUAACUUUUAUGAAUUUUUUGUACAAUUGACCCGUGAUCGAUUUAUCUCGAGUCACAUUGUACAUAUUCGAUACAUGACGACUCUCGAUUGUUGUGAAAAUCUCGAGAUAUCAAUUACGGGCACCAGGUACCAAAACGAUAGAAAAUCGAUUUAGUGCCGAUCGACGAGUAUUUUGCAAUUAGGUGGAAUCACUUACACUCUAAUCACACAUCUCACUCAAGUUAACCUAUCUUCGGUCUCUAAUUGAUUUCGACAGUAUUGUAAUGACCCUUCCAGAUCAACACGGUUAAGCAAUCAAUUCCUGGUCGAAUUCUCAAGUCCAUUGUAUUUAGAUUCCUUAAUUGUUUCUCCAGAUAGUCUAGUUAUCUUGUGAGUGAUCGGCUCAAAGAAUAGCACUAUCAACGCGUCGACGAAAGGCCCAAUUUAUUUAAUUGAAAACGAAUUAUGAAAGUUCAAGCUGUCACAAAGUUUGCCCUAAGCAUUGAAAAAUAAAAUAAAAUAAGGGGACAAUCUAAAGAGUUUAGUACAAUUUUAGUCUUGGGAGUUUCUAUGUUACAUAUGAUCUAGUCCUCUAACUUUUCUAUUUUUAUACACUCAAAUCUUUUGUCAUAUUUAGUUUUUAUGCAAUUAAGUUUUAUUUUUUCAUUCAAGUCAAUCAACGUUCUCAACUAGUGCAAUCGAGUACUUCACUCACCCAUCAUAACACACAAUUCCAUUUUUCUUUUUCUAAGUUUACUUUUCGCUUAUUUGGCACCACCUCAACAUUGUGCGAUAUUUUCUACCUCAAUGAUAAUACUAUGUUAUUGAUUACUAUGACGCAUUCAGCAAGAGGAUUUAUUGAACGAUUUAAUUGCACGAAUCAAGAAAGUUAGAAGACUUGAUUGAACAAAAUAUAAAGUUAAGAGGAUCAAAUUGUGCCGAUAUGGAAAUUUGGAUGACUAAAAUUGCAUCAAACCCUUUUAUAGGGAGAUGGGUCAGCCACAAUAACAUAUUCUUUUUCAGUGACUGGCUUUGACACAACCAAUACAACAGUAGUACGAAAAUGAAAGAUGAGUGGACAAAAGAAGGGCAACAGAUGUUAAACGAAACCUGUUUCCCAAAAGCACCAUGCAGAAACUUCCUUUCAUUGGAAAAUUUUUCUUGAAACGGAACUAAAGAUUACUGGCUUCGACAUAAUCGAUGAACAUACCAAGAGCUGAGGCCUUAUCCAACAACAACGUGAAAAUGAAAAAUGAGUUGAAAAGAAAUGGACAGCAGCUGUCAAAUUAAACAUUUUUUCCAUGUCUCGUUCAGAACUUGUCACUCCCUCAUUACCAUCUUGACCCUUUUGAAAUUGGAAGUGAAGGUUACUGGCUUCGACAUGACCAAUGUAUAACUUGUCGCUCAUGCAAUAUGGUAUAUAGAAAUGAAAGAUGAGUAGAAAAAGAAAUGGACGAUUGCUGUCAAAUUAAAACCUUUCCCAAGUCAACUUGUCGCUCCCCUUCCUUCCAUUAAAAUGCUUUUAUGGUGGAACUGAAGAUUACUGGCUUUGACACAACCAAUGUAAACCCUCCAAGAGGUGAGAGAACUUAUGCAAAAGUAUAAAAAUGAAAGACAAGUCGAAAAGAUGAGGACAAUAACCAAACGCGUGCAACUCAAUUGCACUUUUCGAUAAGGAUAAACUGUACCUCUCCUCAUCAUUGAAAGAGAUAGGAUUAAACGCAGACGUGAUUGACAUAGAGAUUCUUACUAGAAAUUAAAUAAAAAUAAGUCUUUCUUGGUAACAGGAUGUUUGUUCUCGUGACCGUGUAGGUCUUUCUAGGUUCUCUGACGCGUGCCAUGAGGUCAUGGCAUGUUAUGCAACCAGAGAUAUCCAUUCCAUAUUUCUAUGGUAACUAUCCAUCGUUACCUCCUGUGAACCUAAGAAGAACAAAACCAAUCCAUAAAGCUGUGGAGGAUCAAGAACAACCCGCCCUAAGUUAUUGAUGAACUGAGUUAACUGUUUGAAGCCUAAGUAGCGAAUCAUUUAAAGUUUAAGCUACUAAAAUGUCAGAUGCCAAACAGAAGGAAAAUCUACAGAGCCAACAUCUGCAUCGGAUCAACGAUGGCAUAUCAACAACUAAGGGAAAAAUCUGCUACUAAAUAUUUAUCUGAAACUACAAGCGAGGAUCGCGUUGCACUUGCAUAAGUCUGUUAACGCAGGUCAAUGGUCAUGUUCUGGCCAGCUAUGUAAGAAGUUUGAAAACUCUACACGGACAGGCACCAUUUGCAAGAAGACCUGUUCCCUCAAAUGCUCAUCUUUGUACUGAGCUGGAAAUGCUUUUAGCAGAUGACUGUGCCUCCAGAAACAAAUCGCACGAAGUGGCCCACAAUUCUCUGGCAAGUCCGGUGUCGUACGAAACUGAAGAAGAGUUGAUAGUCCGGCACUUCCCACCAAAGAAUACACACCAGAAAUUUCCUAUAUUUGCAAGACAGCGGCUAUUAGUAAGCACUGUUCCAACAUAUAAUAGCAGCCGCAUAAGAUUGAUACCACAGAUUAUCAGCAGAGAAGGGAAAAUCAAUUCUGGAAACACUCUGUCAUACCGUAGAAUCAACAUUAAUGGAUUUUAUGUCCAAUGCUAGUACGACCUCAAUUGAGGAUAAAACGAGAGAGACUCAUUCAAGAUGGUUCAGAUAAGUGAAGCACCAGUACAGGAAUGCUUUACACCAGCCCCAUUUAGUGGGAAAAAAUCACUAUCACCCAUAUCUGCAGCUGUGGUUGCCUAUUGAGAUGAAACACAAGUGAUUUCAUUGCAGUCCCAUCUAGCAGUCCCAUCUAGCAUAUAGCAGAAAUUAAAGAUAACGAUUGCAGUCAGAAAAACACAUAAGAGAAUUGUUGCUGUAACUCUCUUUACUUUAUUCAUCAGAACAUAAGCCUAUUAAAUACGCAGAACAUCCAAACCACUAAGCAAGAAAAUAGCUAUAGAACAACAACAACAAAGACCCACUAACACACCCCACUGACCAGAACAUGUGGAGAAACUAACUCCUAAAAACAAGCCACUUCCUAUUGAAUAGGACUCCACUAUUACAUUAUUGAAGACAUGUAAAAACUGAAAGUUCACUACUUCAACAAUUGAUGGUGUCACUUCAAGGAGUUCUCAAUGUCGAUCACAAAUCGAUACUUAACAUCUCUCUUGAUGAGCCUCUCUAGAGCUUCGUUGGCAUAAUCGAUCGGUAUCACUUCGAUAUUUGGGUAUAUCUUCUGCGCUGCACAUAGGUCUAUCAUUUCUUGGGUAUCCUUUGUUCCUCCCGUUAGGCUACCUGAAACAGUUCUCAUAUCUGCCAAAAGUUCACCGCGAGCAACUUAGUUCACCUAUCAGGUAUAAAAUUUCUUUUAGUAAUCAGAUUUAGAACAAAAACAUACUGUGGUUAAGGCUGGCUGGACUGAAUUUAACUUCGCUCGAGCCGACCAAUGCUAGAAUGCCACCCGUCUUCAAAACAGACAUGUAAGGAUCAAAUGGGUGAUUGCCGGAUGCCGUGUCAAUUAUAAAGUCCAGGGACUUAGCAAUGGCCUGCGUGCAUUGGAUUUAUCAGAUCACAACAGAAUUUGACCACCAUGGAUCUCAAUGUGGGAUAAUUCUAGUUUUUCCUUUUUUUACCUUCAUUUGCUCUACGUCAGAUGAGAUAACGAAAUGGUCAGCCCCAAGCAGGCUCAGUGCUUCCUCCUUUUUAGAAAUGCUUGUACUGAACACUGUGACUUUCAGGUCCAAAAGCCUUCCCAAACUUAACUGCCAUAUGACCGAGCCCGCCAAGUCCAAUUACACCUAGAGACUUACCAGGUUGGUUCAUCUUGUGACGUAUCAUUGGAGUGUACACCGUGAUUCCAGCACAGAGCAAUGGCGCUGCUAGAUCCAUCGGGUAGUUUUCUGGAAUCCUGAAGCAAUACCUGUCAAUGAAGCACCACCAUUAAGUUUCCAAAUAACACCAAGACAGGAAGUGAUUUCCCAAUAGAAUCAGCAUCCUGUCUUUUUUGUCUAAAAGGAAUCAAAUCACAGAGCCAGAAAUCCUAUCUUCCGCAUGCUAAGGAAUUUUACUUGCUUAGACCACAAUUCAGCAUCAUGUUGUUUCCGUGAUCCUUGUUCUGACCACAAAUUGCUCAAGACAAACAUUUCUUGCUGUAGCAACGAAAAUAAAGCAAUUGCAGC